rnacentral:lncRNA from 1 species
CUAAUUUACUUAGAAAUUUUAAGUAUAGUAUAGUGUGCAUAUUAUGUACAUAGGCCUCAGAAGAUGUGCAGUUUAUUAAUAAUUUAUUGUACAUAUAGUAGCUCUCGUGCAUUAUCCUGUUGUGUACGAGGUUAAUUCUAUAUAAGUCGUUCAUAUUUGGUUGUCUUUUCUGGGCAAUCUUAAUAUAUCUGUAAAUUGUGUUGUUCAUACUCGGUUGUCUUUUCUGGGCAAUCAUAUUAUGUCAAUGACGAAUACUCGUUUGGCACAAAGUAAUAUAUAUAGUUGGUUACAAAUUACAUUGGCGUAUAAAUACAAAGCAAAAAAUUGUAUAUGCAUAUUUUGUUUCAUGUAUCAACUGAACCCAAAUUGUUCAAAACUUGAACAAGCGUGUGUAAAUUUGGUAAAAACUCUGCAAUACAAAUGAAAAAUAGUAAGCUUGGGUAACACAUUGUAUUGCUUUAAACUGGAAACAAAGAGAAAUGACGAGAUUAGAUCCACUUCAAAGUUCAAACUCUACCUCCAAUGUUCGGAUUAAUUCUCGUAAUUCUAUUGUUUCUUCCAUGGCGUUGAAAAUAAAUCAGUUUUGUUUAUGGAAGGAAGC